rnacentral:rRNA from 1 species
GAUGAACGCUGGCGGCGUGCCUAAUACAUGCAAGUCGAGCGAACGGACGAGAAGCUUGCUUCUCUGAUGUUAGCGGCGGACGGGUGAGUAACACGUGGAUAACCUACCUAUAAGACUGGGAUAACUUCGGGAAACCGGAGCUAACACCGGAUAAUAUUUUGAACCGCAUGGUUCAAAAGUGAAAGACGGUCUUGCUGUCACUUAUAGAUGGAUCCGCGCUGCAUUAGCUAGUUGGUAAGGUAACGGCUUACCAAGGCAACGAUGCACAGCCGACCUGAGAGGGGGAGCGGCCACACUGGAACUGAGACACGGUCCAGACUCCUACGGGAGGCAGCAGUAGGGAAUCUUCCGCAAUGGGCGAAAGCCUGACGGAGCAACGCCGCGUGAGUGAUGAAGGUCUUCGGAUCGUAAAACUCUGUUAUUAGGGAAGAACAUAUGUGUAAGUAACUGUGCACAUCUUGACGGUACCUAAUCAGAAAGCCACGGCUAACUACGUG